UAAACUACAAAAAGAACUCUAACACUUGAGUUCUAACAGAUCUAGUCUAUUACAAGUGAAACCUAUUGAUUUUGGUAUCAUCAAAACUAGGAUUAGGAUAUUUCAUUAAGUUCCCAACAAUAACAAUAAAAUGUUCAACUUUGUUAAAAAAAUAAAAAUAAAAUAUUCAACAAUAGUUUGAAAUUAAAGAAAAAAAAUAUCUC
rnacentral:lncRNA from 1 species